rnacentral:rRNA from 1 species
UUGUAGUCUGCAACUCGACUACAUGAAGCUGGAAUCGCUAGUAAUCGCGAAUCAGAAUGUCGCGGUGAAUACGUUCCCGGGUCUUGUACACACCGCCCGUCACACCAUGGGAGUCAGUAACGCCCGAAGUCAGUGACCCAACCUUUAUGGAGGGAGCUGCCGAAGGCGGGACCGAUAACUGGGGUGAAGUCGUAACAAGGUAGC